UGGUGACAGGAAAAAAUAAGCAGGAAGAGAAAGGGAAGCAAGUUCAAACCCCUGAAUUCAACCUCACCAACUUCCCACCUUUAUCCCUUAUUGUUGUUAGCAAUCAUUUUGAAGCAAUAUCCAAUAGUAGAGUUGAGAUUCCUCCAGGAGAUGGAGGAGGACCUAACAACUGUCAAUGAAGUGGUUAGUCUGGAAUAUUAUUUUGAUGCAAUGUCCAAUAGUAGAGUUGAGAUUCCUCCAGGAUAUGGAGGAGGACCUAGCAAUUGUCAAUGAAGUGGUUAGUCUGGAAUAUUAGGGGUAUAAAUAAAAAGGUAUAAGCAAAAAGAAGUUAGGAAAUAUAUAAGAAGAAAUAACAUCAACCUUGUUGGUUUGGUAGAAACUAAGGUUAAAGAAAAAAAUGCAGGAACAAUUGCUAAGCUGUUGAUUCCUGGCUGGGGUAUCCUCACAAAUUAUCAGGGUUCUAUAAAGGGUAGAGUAUGGAUUUUAUGGGAUACAAAGUUCCGCACAGUCACUGGUAUCUAGGAGGAGGCCCAACUGAUUCACUGUAGAGUUAGAAACAUUUCUGGGGAUGUCACUUGCUAUCUAACUGUGGUAUAUGGCUAUAAUGGGAUGGACAAGAGAAGAUCUCUAUGGAAAAAAUUGCAGGAUUACUCUGUUGCUAUAACUGAGGCUUGGUUAGUUGCUGGAGAUUUCAAUGCUGUCCUAUAUGCCAGUGAUAGACAGUCAAGUAAUCAUGUUAAGCAUUCAGAGAUUCAAGAGUUUACUCAAUGCAUACAACAGGCUGGACUUUCAGAGCUACCUUGGAAAGGGAAUUAUUUCACCUGGACAAAUAGGCAGACAUGCAAUGAUAGAGUAUGUAGCAGACUGGAC
rnacentral:lncRNA from 1 species